GCUUCCAUAGCUCAAUUGGAUAGAGCAACCGCCUUCUAAGCGGUAGGUUACAGGUUCGAGUCCUGUUGGAAGCG
rnacentral:tRNA from 1 species